UACGGAGGGGACUAGCGUUGUUCGGAAUUACUGGGCGUAAAGCGCGCGUAGGCGGAUUUGUAAGUCGGGGGUGAAAUCCCGGGGGUCAACCUCGGAACUGCCUUCGAUACUGCAAAUCUCGAGUCCGGAAGAGGUGAGUGGAAUUCCUAGUGUAGGGGUGGGAUUCGUAGAUAUUAGGAAAAACACCAGUGGCGAAGGCGGGUCACUGGUUCGGUACUGACGCUGAGGCGCGAAAGCGUGGGGAGCAAACAGG
rnacentral:rRNA from 1 species